rnacentral:rRNA from 1 species
UACGAAGGGGCUAGCGUUGCUCGGAAUCACUGGGCGUAAAGCGCACGUAGGCGGACUCUUAAGUCGGUGGUGAAAUCCUGGAGCUCAACUCCAGAACUGCCUUCGAUACUGAGAGUCUCGAGUCCGGAGAGGUGAGUGGAACUGCGAGUGUAGAGGUGAAAUUCGUAGAUAUUCGCAAGAACACCAGUGGCGAAGGCGGCUCACUGGCCCGGUACUGACGCUGAGGUGCGAAAGCGUGGGAGCAACAGG